rnacentral:sRNA from 1 species
AAAUAUUUUGUUUAAUUAACCAUUUUUGCCCAAUAAAUAUAUUAUAUCCAUUUUCCGUUACGUAAAAUAUUUGGUUAUUAAACCGGCGUCCAUCGAUUUCCAAAAUCGUUUUAAAUUUGUGCGUAAUGCGUUUUGCGUCCUAUUUGCGGUAAUCCGACAAAAAUAACGGGGUUUUUAACUUUUAAAGCCGGGUUUUUAACCGUUUUGCGGUUUGUUUAACGAUUAUUGGGCUAAUUAAAAAAGAAAUAUUUGUUCCGGUAUUAUAAAAAACUUUAAUUAAUUGUAUUACGUUAUUAAUUUGUAUUUAAAUUCGAAUAAUAAAAAAUUUAGGUUGUGGGUUAUUACCAAUUUAAAUUAUUGUAAAUAUUUGGACCACCGAGGAGGUUUUUGGCGGUUUUACUUUUUUCCCGAUUAUUUUUGUUCGUUAUUAAUAUUGUGGUUAUUUUUAAAAUCCAAAGCCCUAAUUGUUUUCGUUUUAUUGGGGUAUUUAAAUAAUUUAUAUCCUUUUUUCCCGCACGCGAAACAAAUGUUGGUUUCCCAAUAAGCCAUUUUUUCAGUUUUUGUUAAACCACGUCCUGUGGUUUUUAUUAUUUUAAAUACUAUAUCGCUUUUUUUUCUUUUGUUCGGGUUGCUGGUUUCGUAAUAGCGUCCUCGAUUGUUUUUCCUAUUUUUGUCUGGGCUGUAGGGGUAUUUUUUUUUUUAUUUUUACCGCGACUUUUCUAUUUUCGCUUUUUUCGUUCCCGAUACGCUCGCUAAAUAUUAUAAACUGCAUCGGCCACCAAAUUUGCGAAUUUUUUAUAAAAUAUUCUGGGGUCCUUGUUAUUUUAUAACAGCCAAUAAUUGAAACCUGCCGGGAUAUAUUAUUAUAGCGUAAUUUUGCGUUUUUUUGCUGGUAUUCCAAUUUUAUCGGCGAAAAUAUUUAUUUCCGUAAUAAAAUUAUAAACGUUAUUACCUGGUCCGCAUUUAAAAUAUAUUUUUAAUAAUUUUUCCUAUAUUUCGGACGUUUAAUUACUAUUAUAAUAUACCGUGGCCAAAACCUGGAUUAUUUUUACCACGUAUAAAUACGGUUGGGUUUUUAAAUUAUAUUUGGUUUCUAAUAUUGUUGCUGGUCGGUCGUCCAACAGGCUAAAUAAUUUUGCUAUACGGUUUUGUUUAAUUCGGAAAAUUAUAUUAUCCUUUUCGAAAUAAUUUGCUAAUUUCGUAAUCCAGCGGUCAAAAAUGGUUAAAUUGCCGGAAAAUAUAUUUGGAUUUAAUUUUUUAUUUUUGGCUUUUUUACUAUAAUGCGGGUUGGUUGUUUUUUAAUUAUGGCCGUACGGUUUAAAUAUUUUUUUAUUGGUUAGGCCGGUUGGUUCGAACCUGGUACCUUUAAAAGCGUUAUUUUCGGGUAUAAUUUGUCGGGCUUCCGGUUAAUUGUUUUAUUUUUCGGUUUGCAAACGUAUAAUAACCGUUUAUAACCUAACGAUUUCGUUGGUUAAAUUAUUUCCGUUUGCCAUUAUAUUGGGGUUUAUUUCCGGCGUUAUAUAUUUUAUUUUUGCAAAUUCGAAUUCGUUUAAAUUUUUUUCAAACGUUUUUAUAUUAAACCACGCGGUAUUCGAAAAGGAAUUAAUUUCGAUUUCGUUUUCGAAAAUGGAAUCGGUAUUUGGCGUAAAAUCGGUUUUAUUUUUUGGUCGGGUCGGGUCGUCGGUGGAACAAUUUGUUUAUUCCGUUUUAUUCGAAAUUAACCUUUGUAAUUUCCUGUUCGCAAAUGGAUGGUUUUUUAAUUUGGGUAUAAAUUGGGGUCGGUUUGGGUUUCAAAUUAACGUUUUUGUUAAUUUCCGGUCGGGUUGAAUUUAUUAAAUGCGGAUUUAUUUUCGUCGUUCGCCAACGGCGUAAAAAUAAAUUGUUAUAUUUUAUUUGUUAAUUGUUAGACCAGCGAUUUUUUUGAAAAUAAAAUUAUAUUACGGCCCGGGGUAAAUAUAGCACGGAAAUUAAUUUAUUGGUAUUUAUCGACGAAAAUUUUAUUUUAAAAAGAAAAAAGGAAAUAAACAAAAUUUUAAAUUUAACGCGACGUCGAUAAAAAUAUUACCCUGGUAGGUCGUUAGUUAGGGGUCAGGGUUAGGGUCUGGUGAUUUUAUGGUCCAAAUGUUAUAUAGUCCACGUAUAAUCGUAAUUUUCCGUUUUUCUUUGGUACGAAGAAAAUAGGGUAUUCUGCUAACGCUGUCGAUGGUUUAAUAUAUUCUUUUCUGAGGUUUUUUUUUAAAUACUGGUCGAAUAUUUCCAUUUAUAUGGGGUUUAAACCGUAUAUUUUGUAAAAUUUGGGUUAUAUUCCCUCCUUUAAUAAUAUUUCGUAGUCGAAUGGAUUAUAUUCCGGCAAUCCCGUUUCGAAUUUUGAGCUAAAUAAUCGUUCGUAUAUUUGGUAUUCGUCUAAUAUAUUGUUGGUUUGUUUUUAUUUUGGUAUUAUAUAAUUGGAUCGGUUUUGGUUUGUAAAUAAUCGUUUUUUUUCCGAUAUUAAUUCCGGGGUUGGUCGUCCUUUUUAUAAAUACGCCAUUUAUUUUGGUCGGUCCAUCCGUACCCUACGUUUCCUAUAUAAAUUUUUCUAAACAAAAGGUCGUUUAAUAAUUAGGUGCUUUUUUCAUUGGAUUUGGCCUAUUAUAUAAUUUAUCCGGGGGUUGUUUGUUACGACCAGGGUUGGUACCGACACAAUUAGGUAAAAAUAAAAGAAGUGUCGGGAACCCAAACUAGAACCACCAGGGACCACGGACCAGGAAUAAAGGACGAAAAUACGAGGUUACGUAACGAUAAAAUAAGGAACCCUAACCCGAUUACAGGAUAAAAGUAACCGCGAUUAUUACCAAAAAAGUAAUCGGCCCAGCGGUAAUUACCCCAGGGUAAUUGUAAUUAUUUAUAUAAUAAUAAUUAUAUUCGGGAUAUAAUUUAUAUAAAACGCGUUUAUUAUUAUGUAAAUAAAUUCGAUUUUAAAAUUGUUUAGCAGCAAUUAAAUUCUAAUUAACUUUAAUAUUUAUUUAAAAAUAAUUAUAACUUUACCCCCCAAUUAUUAAAAACCCCAAUUAUCCAAUUAGACGUUUAAUUGCUUUAACCCACUGUAUUUUACCCUAAGAACAGGUUACCCGAUAUUUUAAUCGUAAUAUUGCUUUUCCUAAACCAGGGAAUUUUUAAAAUUAUAUUUUUAUUUUUUAUUUCCAUAAUAUCCAAAAUAAUUUGUUUUUU